UACAGAGGUGGCAAGCGUUGUUCGGAAUUACUGGGCGUAAAGGGCGCGUAGGCGGUCUUGCAAGUCCUGUGUGAAAUCCCUCGGCUCAACUGAGGAACUGCACAGGAAACUGCUUGGCUUGAGUUCGGGAGAGGGAAGCGGAAUUCCGGGUGUAGCGGUGAAAUGCGUAGAUAUCAGGAGGAACACCUGAGGCGAAAGCGGCUCUCUGGACCACAACUGACGCUGAGGCGCGAAAGCUAGGGGAGCAAACAGG
rnacentral:rRNA from 1 species